UGUGUGUCUGUGUAGUUCAAAUGAUAGCAGAAUGGGAAAACCGAAGUAACCCGUGAACAUGUCAGAAGCUGUAUCGUGACUCUGUUCACUUCCUCUUCCUCUUCCUUUCGAGUGAGUGAGUGAGUGAGAGUUAGUGAGAGAGAGAGAGAGCGAGGGAGAGAGAGAGGGAGAUACAGAGAUACAUACAGCGAAAUGAUAUGAAAGGUGCUAAGGCCGGAAGUGUUCGGAAAGAGGAAGUUGAGAGUUGUGAGUCAGAGACAAGAAAUUGGUGUGAAGACAGAGAUACACAAAUUAGAGUAAGUAUGGUGGAGUGGAAAAAAGGACAGAGGUAAAAAAUAAAUAAAAAACAACGGAUGAAACUGAACUGGAAAACACAACAAAAAGACAACAAGUGAAGAGGAAAGGAGAAGGCUGAACAUUGCGACAGAUGACAGAGUCGGAUAUGAGAAAACGCUGUGUCGGCACUCUUCUGGUCCUCAUGCUGAUACAGACAGGCAUGACAGACAGUGGGAUUUCUGUAUCUCACAAAUGGCAUGGAGGUUACCUAUCUAUCACCUGUCGUCUCAUGGGGGACAAAGACACUGUUUCUCAGAUCAACUGGGAGAUGACCAGCAGUUCGAACCACACCACCACCAGAUUGAAACUGGGCAUCUUCCACCCCGUGUUUGGUACCUACGUGGUCCCGGAGUACAACGAUACUGUGGAGAUCCAGGGUAACGCCUCCAGCGGCCAUUACACGCUCAGGCUGAGAGGUAGCACUGUGUUGGAGGAGAGUCAGUUCUGCUGUAAAUUCAUGACCUUUCCCUCUGGAGGGCUGGAGCAGUGUACAAAUGCCAGGAUUAAUGAAAGCACAGAGGAGGCCCAGGUGUCAGAAGGCCCACAGGGUUUACUAGAGGAGAGACAAGUGGAGCAGUGGGCUCUGCUAGUAAUGGGACCUACCAUCUGUCUCCUCAGUAUCGCAAUCUCUCUCUACUACUGCUUGAAGUAUUGCUGCAGACACUGCUACCGCAGGAGGCAAGUGUUCGAGGUGGAGACUUAUCUGACAGACCAGCACACAGACUCGGAGGAGGUCACAGAGGAGCCCCCCCAUCAACCCCCCCUUCCCUCACCCCCUCCCCUCCAGCUCCAGGGUUUUGACCCCUCUAAGCUCUACACUAAGAUCAAGCAGGACCUGCUGUAUGGACGACUAUGGAAGGCCUACCAGGGGACAGCUAAGGCCUGGGGCCCCACAACACAGCAGGGUCCACACCAGCAAGGGCCACAACAAGGGGCAAAACUAGGGCCACAAAAGGUCUAUUUUCUUCUGGGGGAUCAUCGGGUGUCACAGAGAGAGGAACCAGAAGAACCAGAACUAGAACCUAAUCUAGAACAAGAACAAGACCCUCAACCAACCCUUGAAGGAACCGUGGAACCACAGACUGAGCUUGAACCUAUCCAUCCAUUAGCCCUGGAACCUGGAACACAGAUGGAGGUUCAAGAACCAGAAUGUAAUUUAGAACUAGAACCCAACUUCCCAUCAACCCUUUCUGCACAGAGGGAGGAACUGGAAUCAGACAUAGGAACAGAGAAAGAGGAAAUUGAAGAAACCAGAGACUAACCCUUCAGCGAGGAGGUUCAUGAAGGGAAGGUGUGUUGUGUUGUUGUGUGUGUGUGCGGGCUGUGCGUGUGUGCGUGUGUACGUGUGUACGUGUGUGUUGGGAGGAAUAAUGCACUGUUGACAUUGGGUGAAUAACCCUGACCUCCUAAGGUUAGCUGUCAAUCAAUACGAUUAAUAAUUAUGGCCCCAGUGGGAAAUUUGUAGUGAAAAUUAAACUCACAGGUAAUCGCCAUGGUUUUUUGUUUACUGUGAACAUCGUACAUGUGGUUAGACGUCUCGGCCAUCACUCAGACAUUUCUCUCUCUCUCACACACACACACACACACACACACACACACACACACACACACACACACACACACACACACACACACACACACACACACACACACACACACACACACACACACACACACACACACACACACACACACACACACACACACACACACACACACAGACACACAGACAGACAGACAGACAGACAGACACCACACACACACUGGUCAAUGGGGUUUGAAGUCUCGGCCAUCGCUCAGAUGUUCCUCACAUUUGAGCUCACAACAGUGUGGCAUACAGUAACUGUAUGAUGUGCGGUGUGAAUAGAACAUUAUGCUUUUAAAUAUAGUAUUGGGUUGCAUGACCUUUAGAUUCUAGAAAAGAGCUGUUAUAGCCAACUGAUCUGUUAUUGUAAGGAGCAAGACAGUGAGUGAUUUUUAUCUUGUGUAUCUGGUUUUGUGAUUGCAAUUUCUGUAUAUAAUGUUUAUUCCUUUGUUUCAAUUAAAAAUCAGACUAGCAAAAGUGUUUGAGUCCUUCACUUGAUAUCUAGAAUAUGCCUGCUUUUUUAGGGGGGCCACUGGGGGACGACACAAGACCAUUUAUUCACUAACCUCGGUCCCAGGAAAUUUAGCACAACGCAUACGUCAACGAUUCAUAGUUGGCCUUAGUGGGAGUGACCAUAGAAUUCUAUGGGAGUGACCUAACUGGGUAAAGUUGGGAUAGUUCUAACCACAGGAGGUUAGUGGUACCUUAAUUGGGGAGAACAGGCUUGUGGUAAUGGCUGGAGUGGAAUCAGUGGAAUGGUAUCAAAUACGUCAAACAGUGUUUCCAGGUGUUUGAUGCCAUUCCACAUGUUCCGCUCCAGACAUUAUUAUGAGUUUUUCUCCCCCACUCACGUGGUUCUAACAGACUAAUGCAUGUAAAAUAAUGUGUUAUGAGGCUAAGGAUAUUAAUU
ensembl:lncRNA